UACUACCGAAGCUACGGCAUCAGUAAUGAUGGGUAGGGGAGCUUCCCAUACGGGUUGAAGCAUGACCGUAAGGACAUGUGGACAGUAUGGGAGUGCGUAUGUUAGCAUGAGCAGCGAGAUGGUGGUGAGAAUCCCACAGGCCGUAAACCCAAGGUUUCCAGGGGAAGGGUCGUCCGCGCUGGGUUAGUCCGGCCCAAAGCUGCGACCGAAAGGCGUAGGUGAUGGACAACAGGUUGAUAUUCAUGUACUACCGAGAACCGUUUGAGAGAUGGGAUGACACAGUAGGAGAAGCUAAGCAGACUGUGGGGUAGGUGUGCCCAAGCAGUUAGGCAGUCGCAGAAGGCAAAACGGCGUUGAUAAUGCUGGGAUGUGAUGGGGAGCGAAAUUUAGUAGCGAAGUAGCUGAUUUCACACUGUCAAGAAAAGUCUC
rnacentral:rRNA from 1 species